GGGUUGUGAGGUUAAGCGACUAAGCGUACACGGUGGAUGCCCUGGCAGUCAGAGGCGAUGAAGGACGUGCUAAUCUGCGAUAAGCGUCGGUAAGGUGAUAUGAACCGUUAUAACCGGCGAUUUCCGAAUGGGGAAACCCAGUGUGUUUCGACACACUAUCAUUAACUGAAUCCAUAGGUUAAUGAGGCGAACCGGGGGAACUGAAACAUCUAAGUACCCCGAGGAAAAGAAAUCAACCGAGAUUCCCCCAGUAGCGGCGAGCGAACGGGGAGCAGCCCAGAGCCUGAAUCAGUAUGUGUGUUAGUGGAAGCGUCUGGAAAGGCGCGCGAUACAGGGUGACAGCCCCGUACACAAAAAUGCACAUGCUGUGAGCUCGAUGAGUAGGGCGGGACACGUGGUAUCCUGUCUGAAUAUGGGGGGACCAUCCUCCAAGGCUAAAUACUCCUGACUGACCGAUAGUGAACCAGUACCGUGAGGGAAAGGCGAAAAGAACCCCGGCGAGGGGAGUGAAAAAGAACCUGAAACCGUGUACGUACAAGCAGUGGGAGCACGCUUAGGCGUGUGACUGCGUACCUUUUGUAUAAUGGGUCAGCGACUUAUAUUCUGUAGCAAGGUUAACCGAAUAGGGGAGCCGAAGGGAAACCGAGUCUUAACUGGGCGUUAAGUUGCAGGGUAUAGACCCGAAACCCGGUGAUCUAGCCAUGGGCAGGUUGAAGGUUGGGUAACACUAACUGGAGGACCGAACCGACUAAUGUUGAAAAAUUAGCGGAUGACUUGUGGCUGGGGGUGAAAGGCCAAUCAAACCGGGAGAUAGCUGGUUCUCCCCGAAAGCUAUUUAGGUAGCGCCUCGUGAAUUCAUCUCCGGGGGUAGAGCACUGUUUCGGCAAGGGGGUCAUCCCGACUUACCAACCCGAUGCAAACUGCGAAUACCGGAGAAUGUUAUCACGGGAGACACACGGCGGGUGCUAACGUCCGUCGUGAAGAGGGAAACAACCCAGACCGCCAGCUAAGGUCCCAAAGUCAUGGUUAAGUGGGAAACGAUGUGGGAAGGCCCAGACAGCCAGGAUGUUGGCUUAGAAGCAGCCAUCAUUUAAAGAAAGCGUAAUAGCUCACUGGUCGAGUCGGCCUGCGCGGAAGAUGUAACGGGGCUAAACCAUGCACCGAAGCUGCGGCAGCGACGCUUAUGCGUUGUUGGGUAGGGGAGCGUUCUGUAAGCCUGCGAAGGUGUGCUGUGAGGCAUGCUGGAGGUAUCAGAAGUGCGAAUGCUGACAUAAGUAACGAUAAAGCGGGUGAAAAGCCCGCUCGCCGGAAGACCAAGGGUUCCUGUCCAACGUUAAUCGGGGCAGGGUGAGUCGACCCCUAAGGCGAGGCCGAAAGGCGUAGUCGAUGGGAAACAGGUUAAUAUUCCUGUACUUGGUGUUACUGCGAAGGGGGGACGGAGAAGGCUAUGUUGGCCGGGCGACGGUUGUCCCGGUUUAAGCGUGUAGGCUGGUUUUCCAGGCAAAUCCGGAAAAUCAAGGCUGAGGCGUGAUGACGAGGCACUACGGUGCUGAAGCAACAAAUGCCCUGCUUCCAGGAAAAGCCUCUAAGCAUCAGGUAACAUCAAAUCGUACCCCAAACCGACACAGGUGGUCAGGUAGAGAAUACCAAGGCGCUUGAGAGAACUCGGGUGAAGGAACUAGGCAAAAUGGUGCCGUAACUUCGGGAGAAGGCACGCUGAUAUGUAGGUGAAGUCCCUCGCGGAUGGAGCUGAAAUCAGUCGAAGAUACCAGCUGGCUGCAACUGUUUAUUAAAAACACAGCACUGUGCAAACACGAAAGUGGACGUAUACGGUGUGACGCCUGCCCGGUGCCGGAAGGUUAAUUGAUGGGGUUAGCGCAAGCGAAGCUCUUGAUCGAAGCCCCGGUAAACGGCGGCCGUAACUAUAACGGUCCUAAGGUAGCGAAAUUCCUUGUCGGGUAAGUUCCGACCUGCACGAAUGGCGUAAUGAUGGCCAGGCUGUCUCCACCCGAGACUCAGUGAAAUUGAACUCGCUGUGAAGAUGCAGUGUACCCGCGGCAAGACGGAAAGACCCCGUGAACCUUUACUAUAGCUUGACACUGAACAUUGAGCCUUGAUGUGUAGGAUAGGUGGGAGGCUUUGAAGUGUGGACGCCAGUCUGCAUGGAGCCGACCUUGAAAUACCACCCUUUAAUGUUUGAUGUUCUAACGUUGACCCGUGAUCCGGGUUGCGGACAGUGUCUGGUGGGUAGUUUGACUGGGGCGGUCUCCUCCUAAAGAGUAACGGAGGAGCACGAAGGUUGGCUAAUCCUGGUCGGACAUCAGGAGGUUAGUGCAAUGGCAUAAGCCAGCUUGACUGCGAGCGUGACGGCGCGAGCAGGUGCGAAAGCAGGUCAUAGUGAUCCGGUGGUUCUGAAUGGAAGGGCCAUCGCUCAACGGAUAAAAGGUACUCCGGGGAUAACAGGCUGAUACCGCCCAAGAGUUCAUAUCGACGGCGGUGUUUGGCACCUCGAUGUCGGCUCAUCACAUCCUGGGGCUGAAGUAGGUCCCAAGGGUAUGGCUGUUCGCCAUUUAAAGUGGUACGCGAGCUGGGUUUAGAACGUCGUGAGACAGUUCGGUCCCUAUCUGCCGUGGGCGCUGGAGAACUGAGGGGGGCUGCUCCUAGUACGAGAGGACCGGAGUGGACGCAUCACUGGUGUUCGGGUUGUCAUGCCAAUGGCACUGCCCGGUAGCUAAAUGCGGAAGAGAUAAGUGCUGAAAGCAUCUAAGCACGAAACUUGCCCCGAGAUGAGUUCUCCCUGACUCCUUGAGAGUCCUGAAGGAACGUUGAAGACGACGACGUUGAUAGGCCGGGUGUGUAAGCGCAGCGAUGCGUUGAGCUAACCGGUACUAAUGAACCGUGAGGCUUAACCUUACAACGCCGAAG
rnacentral:rRNA from 1 species